rnacentral:rRNA from 1 species
AUUGAACGCUGGCGGCAUGCCUUACACAUGCAAGUCGAACGGCAGCGGGGGAGAAGCUUGCUUUUCCUGCCGGCGAGUGGCGAACGGGUGAGUAAUACAUCGGAACGUGCCCUGUAGUGGGGGAUAACUAGUCGAAAGAUUAGCUAAUACCGCAUACGACCUGAGGGUGAAAGUGGGGGACCGCAAGGCCUCAUGCUAUAGGAGCGGCCGAUGUCUGAUUAGCUAGUUGGUGGGGUAAAGGCCUACCAAGGCGACGAUCAGUAGCUGGGCUGGGAGGACGAUCAGCCGCAACGGGACUGAGACACGGCCCAGACUCCUACGGGAGGCAGCAGUGGGGAAUUUUGGACAAUGGGCGAAAGCCUGAUCCAGCAAUGCCGCGUGUGUGAAGAAGGCCUUCGGGUUGUAAAGCACUUUUGUCCGGAAAGAAAUGGCUCUGGUUAAUACCUGGGGUCGAUGACGGUACCGGAAGAAUAAGGACCGGCUAACUACGUGCCAGCCGCCGCCGUAA